AAGAGAAAAUGCAGCCUUGUCCAACUUCAGUAUCCCUUAUGCACCACUUGCUUAUUUACCUUAUUCCUUUCCUUGUCUACACAUAGGCUGUAUGGCUGAUUAAGUAAAGCAAGUGGAGAGCCUGAGGAUGCAGAUCUAUAAAUCUGAAAGAGCAGCUGAGAUUACUGAACAGUCACUUGUCCUUAGCUGCUGACACUAGAAAUACUGUUGGACACCAAAGAUUUGAGAUGAAAUCCUGAUGUGUCAGUGCCCUACCCAGCCUGGAAAGGACUAUACUUCCCUGGAUCUCUUCACAGGUAAGCACACGGGGCAGGGGUCCUUCUCAGUCCCCAUCGUGCCAUACUCUGCAGAGGAGCCGUUAAGCUACUUCCCAAGUUCAGUGUAUGAAGUGUUAAAGGGAGAGAAAUUGCAGACUUCCCCCUCUGCUUUCAGGAGCUUUCCAUC